UUUGAAUAGCCAAAACAAUAUUACUUUUGGGUGGUUUUUUGUUUAAUUUUGGUAACAUUAGCCGAACGUCUGCAUCCGAGGAACAACACUUGUUAACGGGUAAGAGAGGCCAAUCGGCAGAUAGAGGCAGCAGGAAAAUAGCAUUAUACUGUACAUUCCUGAUUGUAUAGUUUAUUUAUUAUUAUGAUCAUGAUUGUUUGUUGUUGUUUGACAGUGGCAACACUGGAAUAAUGCUGCAGAGAGGAACAGCGGCUACCAAAGUGAUGGUCAUCUCUCCUGGAUCCACAAGAACUAAGACGUAAAAACACAAGCCUACCUCACAGGACUAUUUUAAGAGACAUGCCCAAUAUGG